AUGACACUGGUCAGCAAGUACCCAGUUCCAAUCAUCGAUGAGUUGCUUGAUGAGCUAGUUGGAGCUCGUUGGUUCUCCAAGUUGGACUUGCAUGCAGGGUAUCACCAGAUACGGAUGGCAGAGGGGGAAGUAUAUAAGACAUCAUUUACUACACACUCGGGGCACUAUGAGUUCUUGGUCAUGUCAUUUGGGUUAGCAUGUGCACCUCCAACCUUCAUUGGCGCUGUGACUUGUACUUUACGACCUCUGCUGCGUGUCUGUGUCAUAUUAUUCUUUGAUGACAUUUUGGUGUUCAGUAAAACUCUGGAGCAACAUGUAGAACAUCUUCGACAAGUGUUGCAACUGCUCCAUAGAGAUCAUUGGCAAGUGAAACAGUCCAAUUGUCCGUUCGGACAACGGCAGAUUGCUUAA
rnacentral:rRNA from 1 species